UAUCUCAGAUACAGUUCAGUUUCUUCAACUGAAGAAUCUAGAAGCUGUCUACCUCCAAAUGGUGCCAGAUGGCCUUGCAUUAACCAAAGAUGGCAAAGUUCUUCAAGACUAUGGUGGUGUGUGAGAAUGACCUUGGGGACAGGAGGAAGACAGAAGGAAUCUUAGGCAAUGAACUGAUUAGAAGCCGCUCAGUCUGCAGAUGGGGGGAAAACAUAGGAAGCAUUUCAGAAGGGACCCUCCUUAGUUUUCCAGAGACUAAAAAGAAAAGAAGGGAGAAAUGGUACUUUCGGACUUGGAAGUUUCUGUUUAAUGAAACCUUACAAUAAAGACAAUGAUGAUGAUG